GUAGCUUUCUCGGCCUUUUGGGUAAGAUCAAGUGUAGUAUAUGUUCUUAUCAAUUUAAUAUCUGAUUUGUGGGCAAUCUGUCCACACGAUAUUAACUCAAUUUUUAAGGGGGAGAGUCUGUUAAGGUAGCUUGCUAACUGACCUUUUGCGUGUCGCCCAUGUGUUGCUCUAUAGCAUGGGCCUGGCGUACCCCAC